CCUACGGGAGGCUGCAGUGGGGGAUAUUGCACAAUGGGGGGAACCCUGAUGCAGCGACGCCGCGUGGGUGAAGGAGUGCUUCGGCAUGUAAAGCCCUAUCGGCAGGGAAGAAGCAAGACGGUACCUGACUAAGAAGCCCCGGCUAACUACGUGCCAGCAGCCGCGGUAAACCGUAGGGGCCGAGCGUUAUCCGGAUUCACUGGGGGGAACGGGAGCGGAGACGGCCAUGCAAGCCAGGGGUGAAAGCCCGGGGCCCAACCCCGGGACUGCCCUUGGAACUGCAUGGCGGGAGUGCGGGAGGGGCAGGCGGAAUUCCUGGUGUAGCGGUGAAAUGCGUAGAUAUCAGGAGGAACACCGGCGGCGAAGGCGGCCUGCUGGACUGCGACUGACGUUGAGGCUCGAAAGCGUGGGGAGCGAACAGGAUUAGAUACCCUAGUAGUC
rnacentral:rRNA from 1 species